CAAGGCCCUAUACACUGCUGGCCCCAACCAUGUGUCCCUGUUCAAGGCAGAUGGAGAGCUGUCGGACCUCAACAGUAAACUGCUUCUCUACUACACUCCUCAGGCCUUCAAGAGUCAGAUCUGUGUGGACCUGUCCCCUAACCACCAGUAUGAUGGCAGACUGACAGGCCACAGGGUGGUGAACUGGGACAUCAAGGAUGUGUUGAACACAUUGGGGGGCAUGGGG